CCCCUAGUCUCAUUUUGCAAGCCAACAAUGCCAGAAACAGCAUAUUUACAAACAUUGAGAAUAUCUCUCACUUCACCGCCAGAAUUCAAUAUUUGAUUUCUAGGCUGCAAGUCAAAACAGUUUUUGGACUUUCCAUUGACCUCUAAAAGCAGAAACAAAUUAGAACAGAUCUCCUGGUCUAUAAGCCACAACCGUGAGGCUAAAUUCUGUAUUAACAUUCCUUGUAAAUAGUUCGUUGAGCUUUGCAGAUCACAUGGAGCUAAAAUUUCAUAGUCAGGCAACUUUGAAAUGAAAAG
rnacentral:misc_RNA from 1 species